rnacentral:rRNA from 1 species
AUUGAACGCUGGCGGCAGGCCUAACACAUGCAAGUCGAGCGAGCGGCGGACGGGUGAGUAAUGUAUGGGGACUGCCCGAUAGAGGGGGAUAACUCCUGGAAACGGUGGCUAAUACCGCAUACUGUAGGAUAACCCAUAUGGGAUUAGCUAGUAGGUCAGGUAAUGGCGUACCUAGGCGACGAUCCCUAGCUGGUCUGAGAGGAUGAUCAGCCACACUGGGACUGAGACACGGCCCAGACUCCUACGGAGGCAGCAGUGGGGAAUAUUGCACAAUGGGCGCAAGCCUGAUGCAGCCAUGCCGCGUGUAUGAAGAAGGCCCUAGGGUUGUAAAGUACUUUCAGUCGGGAGGCGUUACCGACAGAAGAAGCACCGGCUAACUCCGUGCCAGCCGCCGCGGUAAUAC